CCAGAGGGUCGGGCGAUCGCCGCUUCGCGCAAGCGAGGGGGAGGAAAGUCCGGGCUCCACGGAAACCACGGUGCCGGAUAACGUCCGGCGGCCUCCGCAAGGGGGUCAGGGAAAGUGCCACAGAGAGAAGACCGCCCAAGGCUUCGGCCCGGCGAAAGGUGAAAGGGUGCGGUAAGAGCGCACCGCGCGGACGGUAACGGACGCGGCAUGGCAAACCCCACCGGGAGCAAGGUCGAAUAGGGAUGGCACGAGUUCGCUCUUCGGGGCAACUCAGGGCUGGUUCCGGCCCCGUCGUCCGGGUUGACUGCUUGAGCGUUCGGGUAACCGCACGCCUAGAGGAAUGAUCGCCCAUCCCCGGCAACGGGGUGGACAGAACCCGGCUUACAGACCCUCUGGCGCA
rnacentral:RNase_P_RNA from 1 species